rnacentral:rRNA from 1 species
UACGAAGGGAGCUAGCGUUGUUCGGAAUCACUGGGCGUAAAGCGCACGUAGGCGGAUGUGUCAGUCAGGGGUGAAAUCCCGGAGCUCAACUUCGGAACUGCCUCUGAUACAGCACGUCUGAGUCCGGAAGAGGUGGGUGGAAUUCCUAGUGUAGAGGUGAAAUUCGUAGAUAUUAGGAAGAACACCGGUGGCCGAAGGCGGCCCACUGGUCCGGUACUGACGCUGAGGUGCGAAAGCGUGGGGGAGCAAACAGG